UUCAAACUUGUCUAUCACUUUGUUGUCGAAAAAGAUCUGGUCCAGUUCACACCGGCAGUGAAGCCCAUCCCACAACAAUUCAGCAAUAAUAUUCACCUCAUCCUACAAGAGACAGGUGUAGCGGCUGAAAUCUGUUAAAGAUGGAGUUUACUGAAGAGGAGAUUGAAGACUUGAGUGAUCCAGAACCAUCCCGAUUAAAACAUGACGAGGCUGAGGAACAAACAGAUCAGAUGGAAGUGAAGGAGCAAAGACACAAACUAAAUGACAUAAAGAAACACUAUGACUUCAAAACUCGGGGAACAAAAGCCAAAAAGCUGCACACCUGCACUCAGUGUGGAAAGAGUUUCAGAGAUAAAAGAAACCUUUGCAAACACACAAGAAUUCACACUGGAGAGAAACCGUAUACAUGCAAUGAGUGUGGAAAGAGUUUUUCUCGAGCAUUAGGUCUCAGAGCUCAUCUGCACAUUCAUCCUGGAGAAAAGCCAUUUAACUGUGAUCAGUGUGGUAAAGGUUUUCAUGUGUCAUCACUGCUAAAACUACACCUGAAAGUUCACUCAGAUGAGAGGCCUUAUGUGUGUUCUUUCUGUGGAAAGAGUUUUCCACGGCUGAGCAGUUGUAAACAGCACAUGAAAACACAUGAUGGAGUGAGAGAUCAUGUGUGUUUGGAGUGUGGAAAGAGCUUUACACAAGCUGGCUAUCUGAAACAGCACCAAAGAAUUCAUACUGAAGAAAGUGUCCGUACUGUGACAAGAGUUUCGCUCUGUCUGCAUACCUAAAAUCACACGAGAAAGUCCAUGCUAGCGAGAAGCUGUAAGUGUGGGAAGAGUUUUAAACAUUUAGAAAGCCUUCUCACUUAUAUGAAAAAAAUAAAUAAAUUGCAAGUGAACAACAUUCAUUUCAUGUACAAGUACACAAGUAAACUGUGAAAUAAAAUAUGGAGUUUUUCCUAAAAGCACAAUAUGAUCUAGAUUAAUUUUGUUAAUUUGGUUAAAAGUGAAAGACUA